rnacentral:rRNA from 1 species
UGGUCUUGACAUAGAAAGAACUUUCCAGAGAUGGAUUGGUGCCUGCUUGCAGGAGCUUUCAUACAGGUGCUGCACGGCUGUCGUCAGCUCGUGUCGUGAGAUGUUGGGUUAAGUCCCGCAACGAGCGCAACCCUCGUCGUUAGUUGCUAACAGUUCGGCUGAGAACUCUAACGAGACUGCCUACGCAAGUAGGAGGAAGGUGAGGACGACGUCAAGUCAUCAUUGCCCUUACGACCAGGGCUACACACGUGCUACAAUGGGGUAUACAAAGAGCAGCAAUACGGUGACGUGGAGCGAAUCUCAAAAAUGCCUCCCAGUUCGGAUUGUAGUCUGCAACUCGACUACAUGAAGUUGGAAUCGCUAGUAAUCGUAGAUCAGCUAUGCUACGGUGAAUACGUUCCCGGGUCU